GGCGCGGUGCUCCAGGCCGGCGAUCGCGCUGGUGCGGUCAGUGAGUUCCGGAGCGGUACGUGUUCCAACCACGUCCGCGCCCC
rnacentral:tRNA from 1 species